GAUGAACGCUAGCGGGAGGCCUAACACAUGCAAGCCGAGCGGUAGAGUCUCUUCGGAGACUUGAGAGCGGCGCACGGGUGCGGAACACGUGUGCAACCUGCCUUUAUCUGGGGGAUAGCCUUUCGAAAGGAAGAUUAAUACCCCAUAAUAUACUGGAUGGCAUCAUCUGGUAUUGAAAACUCCGGUGGAUAGAGAUGGGCACGCGCAAGAUUAGAUAGUUGGUGAGGUAACGGCUCACCAAGUCAGCGAUCUUUAGGGGGCCUGAGAGGGUGAUCCCCCACACUGGUACUGAGACACGGACCAGACUCCUACGGGAGGCAGCAGUGAGGAAUAUUGGACAAUGGGUGAGAGCCUGAUCCAGCCAUCCCGCGUGAAGGACGACGGCCCUAUGGGUUGUAAACUUCUUUUGUAUAGGGAUAAACCUAGAUACGUGUAUCUAGCUGAAGGUACUAUACGAAUAAGCACCGGCUAACUCCGUG
rnacentral:rRNA from 1 species